GAUGAACGCUGGCGGCGUGCCUAAUACAUGCAAGUCGAGCGAACCACUUCGGUGGUGAGCGGCGAACGGGUGAGUAACACGUAGGUGAUCUGCCCAUCAGACGGGGACAACGAUUGGAAACGAUCGCUAAUACCGGAUAGGACGAAAGUUUAAAGGUGCUUCUGGCACCGCUGAUGGAUGAGCCUGCGGCGCAUUAGCUAGUUGGUAGGGUAAAGGCCUACCAAGGCGACGAUGCGUAGCCGACCUGAGAGGGUGAACGGUCACACUGGGACUGAGACACGGCCCAAACUCCUACGGGAGGCAGCAGUAGGGAAUUUUCGUCAAUGGGGGGAACCCUGAACGAGCAAUGCCGCGUGAGUGAGGAAGGUCUUCGGAUCGUAAAGCUCUGUUGUAAGAGAAAAACGACAUUCAUAGGGAAUGAUGAGUGAGUGAUGGUAUCUUACCAGAAAGUCACGGCUAACUACGUGCCAGCCGCCGCAGUAA
rnacentral:rRNA from 1 species